GUGGGGAAUAUUGGACAAUGGGGGGAACCCUGAUCCAGCCAUGCCGCGUGUGUGAAGAAGGCCUUUUGGUUGUAAAGCACUUUAAGCGAGGAGGAGGCUACCGAGAUUAAUACUCUUGGAUAGUGGACGUUACUCGCAGAAUAAGCACCGGCUAACUCUGUGCCAGCAGCCGCGGUAAUACAGAGGGUGCAAGCGUUAAUCGGAUUUACUGGGCGUAAAGCGCGCGUAGGUGGCCAAUUAAGUCAAAUGUGAAAUCCCCGAGCUUAACUUGGGAAUUGCAUUCGAUACUGGUUGGCUAGAGUAUGGGAGAGGAUGGUAGAAUUCCAGGUGUAGCGGUGAAAUGCGUAGAGAUCUGGGGGAAUACCGAUGGCGAAGGCAGCCAUCUGGCCUAAUACUGACACUGAGGUGCGAAAGCAUGGGGAGCAAACAGGAUUAGAAACCCCGGUAGUCC
rnacentral:rRNA from 1 species